AUUGAACGCUGGCGGCAGGCCUAACACAUGCAAGUCGAGCGGAUGAAGGGAGCUUGCUCCUGGAUUCAGCGGCGGACGGGUGAGUAAUGCCUAGGAAUCUGCCUGGUAGUGGGGGAUAACGUCCGGAAACGGGCGCUAAUACCGCAUACGUCCUGAGGGAGAAAGUGGGGGAUCUUCGGACCUCACGCUAUCAGAUGAGCCUAGGUCGGAUUAGCUAGUUGGUGGGGUAAAGGCCUACCAAGGCGACGAUCCGUAACUGGUCUGAGAGGAUGAUCAGUCGCACUGGAACUGAGACACGGUCCAGACUCCUACGGGAGGCAGCAGUGGGGAAUAUUGGACAAUGGGCGAAAGCCUGAUCCAGCCAUGCCGCGUGUGUGAAGAAGGUCUUCGGAUUGUAAAGCACUUUAAGUUGGGAGGAAGGGCAGUAAGUUAUUACCUUGCUGUUUUGACGUUACCAACAGAAUAAGCACCGGCUAACUUCGUG
rnacentral:rRNA from 1 species